UGCGUAGGGUGCAAGCGUUGUCCGGAAUUAUUGGGCGUAAAGAGCUCGUAGGCGGUUUGUCGCGUCGAAUGUGAAAACCCGGGGCUCAACCCCGGGCCUGCAUUCGAUACGGGCAGACUAGAGUUCGGUAGGGGAGUCUGGAAUUCCUGGUGUAGCGGUGAAAUGCGCAGAUAUCAGGAGGAACACCCGUGGCGAAGGCGGCUCUCUGGAACGCAACUGACGCUGAGACGCGAAAGCGUGGGGAGCAAACAGG
rnacentral:rRNA from 1 species